UGACAUAUAUACUUCUCAAUUGGAGUAAUUAUUUAUUUAUGUCACUAACUGUAAUGCACAACAGUCAUGUAAUGUAAUUUGAGAAGGAAUCGGUCAGCAAAGGGAUGAUCAUCAGCUUCUAAACAUCUACGUUUCUCUAUAAAUACAAUAUUCUUCAACAAGUUAUACAUAUUGUUAAAAAUGACGACUCUCUUCAAUGCCUCUAAAUUGAAGUCGUUUUUUGCUCUUUUAGGAAUACUUUUACUACUCAUGUCAUCUAUGAUGAUGGUUAGUGCUGCUCAAUCCAAUUUCAAACACGGGCGGAAACUUUUCGAUGAUACACCCACUUAUAGUCCAUAUCCCGGAGGUGGAGGAUAUCCAUGAAAUAUUAAGUCCCGUGGAAGGUGUUGAAGUACUUAUGUCUAUAGCUAUAUAGUUCUAAAUAAGGAGUUAUACAAGUUAUUUGUAUCUUAUUUGGCAUUGUACUAUUAGAAUAAUUUGGCAAGUCCAAUUUCAACAUGAUCAUAUCAUAUUUAAUAUGUAAUAUGCGAGAAUAUCUACUUUCCUGGUACAAUCGAGUAUGUAAGAAGAAUUAGUCUCCGCCAAA